GAUGCCAAACGCAAGCGGGAAAGCGAAGAGCAAAUCACCAGCUUGCGGAUACUCGGCAUCGUCGGUGUUCUUCAAGUCGGCCCAAGUAACGUUGUGAGGGAGCCAGAAUCUUUCGUUCCAGAACCAGGCUGAGAAGCCGGCCAUAUUUGAGUGGAUGAAGCAAGUUCAGCCUCUUCCUUCUCGCACUCCGUUUCUCUCAGGCGGGGCGGUGUCGAACUGCCUAAUAACCAGAAUCUGACGUCACCGACAGGGGCCCCGCCCUUUUGUCUUUAGCGUCAUCCAAACCGAGAAGUGCUUAGUAGCGCUGGAAUUGAAGCAAACUGCCUCUCUAUACAAUAUAUAUUCGAAUAAGAUGGAGGCAGAUUCGGGUUACAAAACCAUUGAUCAAGAUAGAUUUGAAAGAUGCAAGAGCAGUCUCUACCUGACUAAAGCAAUUUGUAUAUCAGCAGGACAGAGCAUGGCUUCCUGGUUUUGGACUUGCCUCCUUACCCUAUCCACAGUAGAGGUCACAGUUCUGUGGGUCAGACCUGCCUUCGGGCAGAGAAC